GCCUAAUACAUGCAAGUCGAACGAACUCUGGUAUUGAUUGGUGCUUGCAUCAUGAUUUACAUUUGAGUGAGUGGCGAACUGGUGAGUAACACGUGGGAAACCUGCCCAGAAGCGGGGGAUAACACCUGGAAACAGAUGCUAAUACCGCAUAACAACUUGGACCGCAUGGUCCGAGUUUGAAAGAUGGCUUCGGCUAUCACUUUUGGAUGGUCCCGCGGCGUAUUAGCUAGAUGGUGGGGUAACGGCUCACCAUGGCAAUGAUACGUAGCCGACCUGAGAGGGUAAUCGGCCACAUUGGGACUGAGACACGGCCCAAACUCCUACGGGAGGCAGCAGUAGGGAAUCUUCCACAAUGGACGAAAGUCUGAUGGAGCAACGCCGCGUGAGUGAAGAAGGGUUUCGGCUCGUAAAACUCUGUUGUUAAAGAAGAACAUAUCUGAGAGUAACUGUUCAGGUAUUGACGGUAUUUAACCAGAAAGCCACGGCUAACUACGUGCCAGCAGCCGCGGUAAUACGUAGGUGGCAAGCGUUGUCCGGAUUUAUUGGGCGUAAAGCGAGCGCAGGCGGUUUUUUAAGUCUGAUGUGAAAGCCUUCGGCUCAACCGAAGAAGUGCAUCGGAAACUGGGAAACUUGAGUGCAGAAGAGGACAGUGGAACUCCAUGUGUAGCGGUGAAAUGCGUAGAUAUAUGGAAGAACACCAGUGGCGAAGGCGGCUGUCUGGUCUGUAACUGACGCUGAGGCUCGAAAGUAUGGGUAGCAAACAGGAUUAGAUACCCUGGUAGUCCAUACCGUAAACGAUGAAUGCUAAGUGUUGGAGGGUUUCCGCCCUUCAGUGCUGCAGCUAACGCAUUAAGCAUUCCGCCUGGGGAGUACGGCCGCAAGGCUGAAACUCAAAGGAAUUGACGGGGGCCCGCACAAGCGGUGGAGCAUGUGGUUUAAUUCGAAGCUACGCGAAGAACCUUACCAGGUCUUGACAUACUAUGCAAAUCUAAGAGAUUAGACGUUCCCUUCGGGGACAUGGAUACAGGUGGUGCAUGGUUGUCGUCAGCUCGUGUCGUGAGAUGUUGGGUUAAGUCCCGCAACGAGCGCAACCCUUAUUAUCAGUUGCCAGCAUUAAGUUGGGCACUCUGGUGAGACUGCCGGUGACAAACCGGAGGAAGGUGGGGAUGACGUCAAAUCAUCAUGCCCCUUAUGACCUGGGCUACACACGUGCUACAAUGGAUGGUACAACGAGUUGCGAACUCGCGAGAGUAAGCUAAUCUCUUAAAGCCAUUCUCAGUUCGGAUUGUAGGCUGCAACUCGCCUACAUGAAGUCGGAAUCGCUAGUAAUCGCGGAUCAGCAUGCCGCGGUGAAUACGUUCCCGGGCCUUGUACACACCGCCCGUCACACCAUGAGAGUUUGUAACACCCAAAGUCGGUGGGGUAACCUUUUAGGAACCAGCCGCCUA
rnacentral:rRNA from 1 species